GCUGUUUUGCUUUCUUAUCAUUUGUGUGUUCAGUGAAGUAGCCCUUUUAAUUUCCUGGAGAACUUUUCCUUUGCAUUCACAACUUGGCUAACUAGCACAAGAGGCCUAGCUCUUGGUCUGUCACAGCUUGCCACAUGCAUUCCUCACCCAGUUUAAUCAUUUCUAGCUUUAAAUUUAAAAUGAGAGAUGUGGUUCUAUCUUUCACCUAAACACUUACAGGCCAUUGUAGGGUUGGCCUAAUUUCAAUAUUGCUGUGUCUCAAGGAAGAAGCAGGCCCAAGAAGAGGGAGAGAGACAGAGGAAAGGCUGGUCUGUG
rnacentral:lncRNA from 1 species